AUCGAACGCUGGCGGCAGGCCUAACACAUGCAAGUCGAGCGAGCGGCGGACGGGUGAGUAAUGUCUGGGAAACUGCCUGAUGGAGGGGGAUAACUACUGGAAACGGUAGCUAAUACCGCAUACCAUCAGAUCUGCCCAGAUGGGAUUAGCUAGUAGGGGGGGUAAUGGCUCACCUAGGCGACGAUCCCUAGCUGGUCUGAGAGGGUGACCAGCCACACUGGGACUGAGACACGGUCCAGACUCCUACGGGAGGCAGCAGUGGGGAAUAUUGCACAAUGGGCGAAAGCCUGAUGCAGCAAUGCCGCGUGUGUGAAGAAGGCCUUCGGGUUGUAAAGCACUGUCAGCGGGGAGGCGUUACUCGCAGAGGAAGCACCGGCUAACUCCGUGCCAGCAGCCGCGGUAAUAC
rnacentral:rRNA from 1 species